rnacentral:miRNA from 5 species
AGGUUGCCUGUGAGGUGUUCA